CUCCAUUUUCCCUGUCGUCUGUGAAGGCUGCCGAGACAGCGCUGUAUUUUUCUUGUUUUUUUAGGUUAUUAUAAAGUGCCCGGAAGCGCCAUGCUGUGGGAAGGUUGGUGUAGCAGUGCUGGGAGGUGCCAUAACACAGGGCACUCCUCACCUCAACAACAGUCUCUUCACCGACAAGUAAUUCUUCACCAACAAGCUUUUCAGCAGCUUGGAGAAAUAGAGGAAGAAGAGGAGGAAGAAGAAGAGAAGAUGAAGAGGAAGAAGAGGAGGAGGAGGAUAAGGACUUGGUUGGUGUAGCCGUGCUGG